UACGAAGGGUGCAAGCGUUACUCGGAAUUACUGGGCGUAAAGCGUGCGUAGGUGGUGGUUUAAGUCAGAUGUGAAAGCCCUGGGCUCAACCUGGGAACGGCAUUUGAUACUGGAUCACUAGAGUGCGGUAGAGGAUAGUGGAAUUCCCGGUGUAGCAGUGAAAUGCGUAGAGAUCGGGAGGAACACCAGUGGCGAAGGCGACUAUCUGGACCAGCACUGACACUGAGGCACGAAAGCGUGGGGAGCAAACAGG
rnacentral:rRNA from 1 species